AGAACUUAGCAGAGAUGCUUUGGUGCCUUCGGGAACUCUGAGACAGGUGCUGCAUGGCUGUCGUCAGCUCGUGUUGUGAAAUGUUGGGUUAAGUCCCGCAACGAGCGCAACCCUUAUCCUUUGUUGCCAGCGGCUCGGCCGGGAACUCAAAGGAGACUGCCGGUGAUAAACCGGAGGAAGGUGGGGAUGACGUCAAGUCAUCAUGGCCCUUACGGCCAGGGCUACACACGUGCUACAAUGGCGCAUACAAAGAGAAGCGACCUCGCGAGAGCAAGCGGACCUCACAAAGUGCGUCGUAGUCCGGAUUGGAGUCUGCAGCUCGACUCCAUGAAGUCGGAAUCGCUAGUAAUCGUAGAUCAGAAUGCUACGGUGAAUACGUUCCCGGGCCUUGUACACACCGCCCGUCACACCAUGGGAGUGGGUUGCAAAAGAAGUAGGUAGCUUAACCUUCGGGAGGGCGCUUACCACUUUGUGAUUCAUGACUGGGGUGAAGUCGUAACAAGGUAAGCGUAGCGAG
rnacentral:rRNA from 1 species